rnacentral:rRNA from 2 species
UAAAGUCGUAACAAGGUCUCCGUAGGUGAACCUGCGGAGGGAUCAUUA